AUUGAACGCUGGCGGCAGGCCUAACACAUGCAAGUCGGGCGAGUGGCGGACGGGUGAGUAAUGUAUGGGGAACUGCCUGAUGGAGGGGGAUAACUACUGGAAACGGUAGCUAAUACCGCAUACCAUCGGAUGAACCCAUAUGGGAUUAGCUAGUAGGUAAGGUAACGGCUUACCUAGGCGACGAUCCCUAGCUGGUCUGAGAGGAUGACCAGCCACACUGGAACUGAGACACGGCCCAGACUCCUACGGGAGGCAGCAGUGGGGAAUAUUGCACAAUGGGCGCAAGCCUGAUGCAGCCAUGCCGCGUGUAUGAAGAAGGCCUUCGGGUUGUAAAGUACUUUCAGUCGGGAGGCGUUACCGACAGAAGAAGCACCGGCUAACUCCGUGCCAGCAGCCGCGGUAAUUC
rnacentral:rRNA from 1 species